AGGAGAAAAGCUAGGGCUCGAUCUGGAAGGGGAAGAAUUAAGGCUCAAUUUUGAGCAGCCUCCCCUAAAUUUGAGAGACAGCAGCAGCGACUCUGUGCGCGGCGGUGGCGGCGUUUUCAGGCGGAGCAACGUCGGCCUUGGGGCGACAACGUCGCCUGAGAUUUCGGAACCACGGCGGCGACGAUUUCAGAUUUAAGAAGAAGAGUUAGGGCAGGGAAGAGGCGGCGCCGGAUCGAUUGAGGCAAAGGGAGAAGGGGCGGCGCCGACGAAUCGCCUAGCGCCGCAGAGAGAAGAGGCGCAAAGGAGGUUUACGGGAACAGCGGCGGAGGCAGCGUGUCUCUCCAGGGAAUAGCGGCGGAGGAGGUUUACAGCGGCAGGCAUUGGAGGUGCAAUUUUGUAGAAAAGUUAGGGUUUGAAUUAAGUUAGGGUUUGAAUUAAUUUUGUAGAAUAAUUUUGUAUGUUGAUGGUAAAAUCUGAUAUGUAAUUAAAAUUUCUUUUUUUAUUAAAUCUGGUAUGGUAAUAGACAACGGAUUUGAAAAUCGUUGUCUAUUCUCU
rnacentral:lncRNA from 1 species